AUAGGCCACACCAAUUUAAUUUCUUGUUCUACGGAUUUUUGGACUCCAAAAUUUGGGGCGAGCGAGCGAUUUGAAAAUUUUAAUUAAAAAAUAUUUAAUUUGCAAAUUUUUGAGGCGAAGCUUGAAAAGUAAAGGCGAGCGAUUAUAAUUUUUUUUUGUAAACAUAAAAUAGUAGGUUUUGACAAUAUUAAAACUUGAUUUAUCACUUGUACUUUGACAUUUCUUUAAUUUCUGAAGUAUUUUUUCCCUGUUCACCAAGAAAUAAUUAAAUCUGGUCUAUGUAUGUGUGACUGACAAUGAGACAAUUCUCCAUCCAAGUCAUAAUCAGUUUGGGGGCAACCCCUUAAUGUUUAUAAUAUCCCUUUUUACAUGUUUUAUGAGGGAUCAAUAUAAGUUUUAAUAUAUUUGUUUGUACAAAAGGGCUCAUAUUUUCUCAAAGAACUAUAUAUCUAUCUGGUAUUAAAUGUUCAAAACAUGUCCAAGAAUUUUGUAAUAUUCCUGGACUUUAACCAUGUUAAAUUAACACAUUUACUUUAACAGUUUAAUAUUAUUCAAAAUAAAUGGACCCCUCUUUUAGAAAAAGUUGUUUAAAAUACUGUGGAUUCAUUUAUUUUCGUGGGUAUCAAUUUUCGUGGAUAGAGAAAAAAAGACGUUUCGUGGUAUACGUAAAUUCGUGGAUCGCUGAUUACAACAACAAAAAAUAGAUACGUAAUUCGUGGAUUUCUUUUUGAUUUAGGAGAUCAUAUAACCUCCUUGGUGAUGUAACUCUCCUCUUUUUGAGUACAAAAUUCCAAGUUUUCAAAGGUUUUGUAUAAAAGAACUAUACAAAUCCUUGGUAUUUCUAUUUUCUUUUCUUUCAGUAAAAGGACCCCUUGUCUGAGGGAGGGUUGUUCUCAACCUGACAAUAACAAACACAGGUCAAAGUACGGCCUUUAACACAGGGCUUUGAUACAGACCAAACAGCAAGCUAUAAAGGACC
rnacentral:lncRNA from 1 species